CAUUAUUUCCAAUAUUUCUGUUCUUUUUCUUUGUCUGUCUCCUAAUGUGCUGCACUGUGUUUCCUGCUAAGUGGAGUCUGUUUCCAUUAUUUCCGGUUUUUCCGUUAUUUCUGUUAUUGUUUUUAGUCUGCCAUCUGAAGUGCUGGAGUGUGUUUACGGCUCCCUGGAGGGUAAUUCAUUUCUGUUAUUUCCGUUAUUUCUGUUAUUUUUCUUAGCCGGUCAGCUGAAGUACUGGACUGCGUUUCCUCCCUAUUAGAGGUUAUUUCUGUUAUUUCCGUUAUUUCCAUUCUUGUUCUUAGUCUGUCAUUGGAGGUGCUGGAGUGUGUUUCCGACUCACUGGAGAUUUGUUGUUUCUGUUGUCUCUGUUGUUUCUGUUGUUUCCGUCGUUUCCGUUAUUUCCACUAUUGUUCUUAGUCUGUCAUCUGAAGUGCUGAAGUGUGUUUCUGGCUCACUGGAAGUUAUUUAUUUUCAUUAUUUCCAUUAUUUAAGAUAUUUUUCUUAGCCCAUCACCUGAAGCACUGGACUGCGUUUCCUGCUCACUGGAGUUUAUUCAUUUCUGGUAUUUCCGUUAUUUCCAUUUUUUUUUUGUCUGUAACCUGAUGUGCUCAACUGUGUUUCCUGUUCACUGGAGUCUAUUUUCAUUAUUUAUGUUUUUUCCAUUAUUUUUCUUAACCAGUCACCUGAAGUACUGGACUGCGUUUCCUGCUCACUGGAGGUUAUUUCCAUUAUUUCCGUUCUUGUUCUUUGUCUGUCAUCUGAAGUGCUGGAGUGUGUUUCUUGUUCCUUGGAGGUUAGUUAUUUCCGUUAUUUCCAUUAUUUCUCUUAUUUUUCUUACCGGUCAUCUGAAGUACUGGUCUGCGUUUUCUACUCACUAGAGGUUAUUUAUUUCUAUUAUUUCUGUUAUUUCUGUUAUUUCUCUUAUUUCUGUUAUUUCUGUUAUUUCCAUUUUUUCCGUUAUUUCCAUUUUUUUGUUAUUUUUCAUAGCUGGUCACCUGAUGUACUGGAAUGUGUUUCCUGCUCACUGGGGGCUAUUUCCGUUAUUUCUAUUAUUUCCUUUAUUUCCAUUAUUUAUGUUCUUUUUCUUUGUCUGUCAUCUGAAGUGUUGGAGUGUGUUUCCGGAUCCCUGGAGGUUAGUUAUUUCCAUUAUUUUUGUUAUUUAUUUCCCUUAUUUCCGUUUUUUCAGUUUUUUUUCUUAGGCGGUCACCUGAUGUGCUGGAUUGCAUUUUCUGCUCAUUGGAGGUUAUUUAUUUCUGUCAUUUCCGUCCUUUCCGUUAUCAUUCUUAGUCUGUCAUCUGAAAUGCUGGAGUGUGUUUCUGGCUCACUGGAGGUUAUUCAUUUCAGUUAUUUCUGUUAUUUCCGUUAUUUGUCUUAUUCUGUCAUCUGAAGUGCAGGAGUCUGUUUCCGGUUCACUGGAGGUUAAUCAUUUUCAUUAUUUCCGUUAUUGUUCUUAGUCUGCCAUCUGAAGUGCUGGAGUGUGUUUCCGGCUCAGUGGAGGUUACUCAUUUCCAUUAUUUGAGUUAGUUCCGUCUUUUUUCUUAGCCGGCCACCUGAUGUACUGGACUGCAUUUCCUACUCACUGGAGGAUAUUUAUUUCCGUUAGUUCCGUUCUUCUUUUUAGCCGGUCACCAGAUGUGCUGGAGUGCGUUUCCUGCUCAUUGAAGUCUACUUUUUUUUAUUUCUGUUAUUUCCGGUAUUCUUCUUAUUCUGUCAUCUGAAGUGCCAGAGAGCAUUUCUGGCUCACUGGAGGUUAUUUAUUUCUGUUAUUGCAGUUAUUUCUGUUAUUUCCAUUUUUGUUCUUAGUCUAUCAUCUGAAGUACUGGACUGCCUUUCCUGCUCAAUGGAGGUUAUUUAUUUCCUUUAUUUCCUUUCUUUUUCUUUGUGUGUCACCUGAAGUACCAGAGUGUGUUUCCUGCUCACUGGAAUCUGUUUUCAUUAUUUCCAUUGUUUCCUUUGUUUCCGUUCUUUCCAUUAUUUCCUUUAUUGUUUUUAGUCUGUCAUCUGAAGUGCUGC
ensembl:lncRNA